rnacentral:rRNA from 1 species
AAGCGUUAUCCGGAAUCAUUGGGUUUAAAGGGUUCGUAGGCGGGUCAAUCAGUCAGAGGUGAAAUCUGGUCGCUUAACGAUCAAACUGCCUUUGAUACUGUUGGUCUUGAGUCAUAUUGAAGUGGAUAGAAUAUGUAGUGUAGCGGUGAAAUGCAUAGAUAUUACAUAGAAUACCGAUUGCGAAGGCAGUCCACUAAGUAUGUACUGACGCUGAUGAACGAAAGCGUGGGGAGCGAACGGGAUUAGAUACCCCGGUAGUCCACGCCGUAAACGUUGGACACUAGUUGUUGGAAUUUUCAGUGACUAAGCGAAAGUGAUAAGUGUCCCACCUGGGGAGUACGGUCGCAAGAUUGAAACUCAAAGGAAUUGACGGGGGCCCGCACAAGCGGUGGAGCAUGUGGUUUAAUUCGAUGAUACGCGAGGAACCUUACCAGGGCUUAAAUGUAAGUUGCAUUAUCCAGAGAUGGAUAUUUCUUCGGACUACUUACAAGGUGCUGCAUGGUU